GCCGAGGUCUGGACACUAGUGGAGACUCUGGAGAGGAACUCGAAAUUGGAGGCAAUGCUACUUGCGCUGACCUCAACCAAAAUCCGACCGUUUAUCCCCUACCCAGUUGAAAAUUUCCUCCAUACCUGCCCAACAAACCUCAAAUUCUCCCUUAAUGCUCCUCCAAAUUCUCUCCGAAGCUUUCCAGUAGCAGCCAAGUCUAAACAGACCCACCUUUCCAAUCCCCAUAAUAAGACUCAGGACAAUGGCAUCCCAAUCGAAGACCUCAAAUUCAUUGCCAAAUUCAAGUCCAGAUACAACUACAUUCGCGUUCUCGAAGUCUCUCGUAAAGCCGACCACCCUCUUGCCGGUUCUAGACUCCUCCUUCUAGAUGCCCCGGGAAACAUCCACAGCAUUUCCUUUCGCUUCAAAUUACUCACUGAUACCUAUUUCGACGUUUUCGCCACUUUGCCUCCCAUUUUGCCCCCUGGACCUGUGGCCGUUCUCGGAUUCGGGGCGGGUUCUGCAGCCCGUUUAAUACUAGAGUUGUAUCCAGACGUGGCUGUUCACGGAUGGGAGCUUGACCCAUCUGUGAUUGCAGUGGGCAGAGAGUAUUUUGGCCUUGAAAAGCUCGAAAAGCAGCACCCGGAUAGGCUUUUUAUUUAUAUUGGAAAUGCAUUGACGUUAAAAUCUAAUGUUAAGGACGGGCUUUCGGGCAUUCUCGUUGAUCUGUUUAGCAAGGGUAGUGUGAUCCCCGAGCUUCAAGAUCCAAACACUUGGGAGGAGUUAAUCAGGUGUUUGAGGAAAGGAGGGAGAAUCAUGGUGAACGUUGGUGGUCGUUGUGUGGAGGCGGAGGAUAAGAGAAGGGAUGGCGAUGUGGUUAUGGAGGAUACUUUGAAGGCAAUGCAUCAGGUAUUCGGUGACGAUCUUUUUGUUUUGAGUCUUGGAAAUCAAAAGGAUGACAGCUCUGUUGCUCUUACCGGUAAAUUACCGGAUUCUGAUGCAUGGAAAAAGGUGCUUCCGAAGUCAUUGAGGUUUUAUGUUGAUAUGUGGGCACCAUUUAGUUGUUAGUCUGGUACGUUCUUAGUUACCGUUAUUGUUUUUAUGGUGCUUGUUAUGCAAUUGAACUUGCAGAAUGAGAGGAUUUUAUGGAGAAAUAUAUUGAUGCGCUUUUUAUGUUUGUGUUUAUUCCUGUAUGAACUUGCUUAUCAAGAGGAUAUUUUUAUUUUGUAGUAUGUUCUUCCCUUCUGUUUUCUUCUCAGCUAAAACUUGUUUAUUGGUAAAUUGGUGUGAUUGUAAAGAUGAAGUAUAAGGUAGUUACAAUGUGGUGCCAUUGGAUCAAUAGAAUCCUAACAGCCUGUUUGGGAGGAAGUUUUUGGAGUUAAGGUAUGGGUUUAUAAGGUAAUGGGUUUGUUUGGGAGGAAGGUUUAUUCAAAGGAGGUAAGUUUUUUGGAGGCUUACCAAAUUGGUGGAUUAGGCGGUUUUGAUACAUUACCUUACUUUUGAAAACCUCCAUACACCCCAUCCGAGUCUUCUUCCAAUACUGCAUGACCCCAUGAACUCCAUCAUCCAUUACUGGCACCUGGAUAAGAAAAGAUACAUGUUCAACCUAAGUUGUAGUCUUUAUUUUGCGUUCAUGUUGAGCAUGUAUUUUUAUUUUGCAGGUUCAAAAGUUUGCCAUGCAUUUUUCAUCAUCAUCUGACUCACAAACAAUCAUAAACUCUGUAAAGGUGUGACUAUAUUUACUCAGUGUUUACCCAAGUUUCAUAGGGACUAUACAAUUUUUGAUUUAACUGCAUCAAUCUACAUGGAUUUAAUUGAUGAUCAUAUAUUUGGAGAAUAUGGAUAUUAAGGAAGAGAAAACCAGUUCAUGAUUUACUCUUCUGUGGAGCACUAUUAUGGAGUUAUCCUUUGUUCUGUAAGUAAUUUCUAUAAGAUGAUGAAGCAUUUACGCUUUGUUUGGGUGGGGGCGAGGGAAGGGUAAAUAAGGGUAAAGAGGGUUAAGUAACUAUUGUACCCCUGUUUGGUAAGAGAUGAGUUAGUAAAGGAUAAUGA
rnacentral:misc_RNA from 1 species